rnacentral:tRNA from 1 species
GGGGUCUUAGUCUAAUUGGUUAGGCAACAGCUUUGCAAGCUGUGACUGAAAAGUCUAUGCGAGUUCGAGUCUCGUAGGCUCCA